UACAGAGGGUGCGAGCGUUAAUCGGAAUUACUGGGCGUAAAGCGCGCGUAGGCGGCUUUGCAAGUCGGGUGUGAAAUCCCCAGGCUUAACCUGGGAACUGCAUUCGAGACUGCAUUGCUAGAGUAUGGGAGAGGGAAGUGGAAUUUCAGGUGUAGCGGUGAAAUGCGUAGAUAUCUGAAGGAACAUCAGUGGCGAAAGCGGCUCACUGGGUCUCUUCUGACGCUGAGGCACGAAAGCUAGGGUAGCGAACGGG
rnacentral:rRNA from 1 species